rnacentral:lncRNA from 1 species
AGUUGGGCGCCCCUUAUCUUGCCAUGUUUAGAUAAGCCUUGACUAGGUAUUUGACCUAGACAAGGACUCUAUCAUAUCUCUCUCUAUAAAAUGAGUUUCUUCAUGAAAGUUUUAAAAACCAUAGAUAUUUGAGAGAUCUUUGGGGCAUCCAAAAAUUAAAGAGAAAGACUUUUGGGUCGUGGAGAUAUAAUAGACACAAAACAGGAUGUCUAGGAGAGAGUAAAAAGAAGAAGAAGAGGGUCUUCUUCUAGGGUUGUUAGUUUCAUCUCUUCCCUUCCUCCAUCUUGAGUUUUCUAAGAGCAUCUCAUAUAUAAAACUUCUCUCCUACUUCUCAUCUUUGGAAGAGCACAAAUCAAGAAGAAAGAGGCAUCUGAUCAACCAUCGAAGAAGGAUCAGCACAGUACUAGCAUACUAUGCUGAUUUCCUGAAGCAGGACUUCUGGUCGAGAUUCGUAGACUCG